AACGAACGCUGGCGGCAGGCCUAACACAUGCAAGUCGAGCGCGCCUUUCGGGGUGAGCGGCGGACGGGUUAGUAACGCGUGGGAAUAUACCCUUUUCUGCGGAAUAGCCUCUGGAAACGGAGAGUAAUACCGCAUACGCCCUUUGGGGAAAGAUUUAUCGGAGAAGGAUUAGCCCGCGUUAGAUUAGGUAGUUGGUGGGGUAAUGGCCUACCAAGCCUACGAUCUAUAGCUGGUUUUAGAGGAUGAUCAGCAACACUGGGACUGAGACACGGCCCAGACUCCUACGGGAGGCAGCAGUGGGGAAUCUUGGACAAUGGGGGCAACCCUGAUCCAGCCAUGCCGCGUGAGUGAUGAAGGCCUUAGGGUCGUAAAGCUCUUUCGCCUGUGAAGAUAAUGACGUAGC
rnacentral:rRNA from 1 species